rnacentral:rRNA from 1 species
UACGUAGGGAGCAAGCGUUGUCCGGAAUUACUGGGCGUAAAGGGAGCGUAGGCGGCGAUGCAAGUCAGAAGUGAAAGCCCGGGGCUCAACUCCGGGACUGCUUUUGGAACUACAUGGCUUGAUUGCAGGAGAGGCAAGUGGAAUUCCUAGUGUAGCGGUGAAAUGCGUAGAUAUUAGGAGGAACACCAGUGGCGAAGGCGGCUUGCUGGACUGUAAAUGACGCUGAGGCUCGAAAGCGUGGGGAGCAAACAGG